rnacentral:tRNA from 1 species
GAGAGGAUAGCUCAGUGGUAGAGCACAUGCUUAGCAUGCAUGACAUCCUGUCCCCUUCAGGUACCUUCA